rnacentral:lncRNA from 1 species
UGAGGCAUUUGACUUUAAAAAAUGGAAACGGUGAUUCUGCCGCAGGCCUGGCACGGAUGGUCACCCUUCUCUGCCCAUCAUCACUCAAGCCCCUCAGUCCCCCUCACCCAAGGGCCUGCCUCCACCUUGGCUGGGGGAGGGCAGGGAGGCCGCAACCUGCAAGAACAAUGGAAAGGCCGGAGGGAAGCUGAGGGGCCAGAGAGGGACAGGAGCAUGGAGGGCAGCCAGGAGCCUCUGCAACUAUCUCCAUCUCAUGACAUUGGACCGCAGGUGUCACAGAAGUGUAAUCUCUGACAGAGGAGAAGCAAAUGAGGUGAGACCCACAAGUGCCCCAGCUGACAACCUGGAGAGAGUUUCCACGCCACCAUACAGACCCUGUAGGGGACCCACUGUCUCCAGGCCUCCGUUUGCUCAUCUGUAAAGCGAGGGGUGGGCCAGUCACCCCGGCAUGAGCUUUGACAUUUUAGGAUCCCAGCCUUCCCGCUGUGGUUGCAGAAGUGGCUCUUAGGAUCCCAGCCUUCCCGCUGUGGCUGCAGAAGUGGCUCCUCUCCAGAACAGCAUUUAUGGCGUCUGGACUCCCGCCCCAGCUCCCUAACGGGGCAGGGAGCUCGCCUGCUCCUGAAGCAUCCGCCUCCCAGCCUCGCGCAGGUGAGGCUCAUCAAUAACGAUGGGCGAGGAUGUCAGGCUGCGUCUGAAGCCACCAGGGGCCCAGCAGGCUGCCGCGUGCUUUGUCAUAAACUAUGUUGUCACCUGGGGAAGAAUCAUCACCGAUAACAUAUUUCAGGAGACAAAAACAAGAGGUGCAUUGAUUUUUUCCACGAGGUCAGACAACUUCUGGGAAGGCUCCUGGAACUCAAGUUGUCACGGCAUCUCUCCCUGAAUAUCCGUUUGACCCGGGGUGUUAGUGGCCUCUGACCCAGGUGGGCUCUUUUUCCUGAUCACGGGCUGUUCUUUUCAGAGGCCAGCACCAUCACUGGCCUUUCUCAGACCCUGAGGAUCGAGGCUGACUUGGAUCCAGGGAAGAUUUGCUCUCUGGCUUCCCCUGAUCUGGCUCCGAGAAAGGUCUGCACAGGUGGCUCCGGGAGGGGCUCUGCUGACAGCCAAAUCUGCCAUUUGUUAAGCUUAUGACACACACCAGAGUGACCUGUCUAUUUCCCUGGCCACCACCCAGCCCAAAACUGAAGACAGAAUGUUCAAAAAUACAGUAUAUUAAUAGAAAAUCUGAGGCAUAGUGAGGCCAACAGAUCAGGAGACAACUGCCAUUAAAAAGGUAGUUUGCGGCCGUGAGCGGUGGCUCACGCCUGUAAUCCCAGCACUUUGGGAGGCCGAGGUGGGCAGAUCACAUGAGGUCAGGAGUUUUAGACUCGCCUGGCCAGCAUGGUGGAACCACCCUAUCUCUACUAAAAAUAUAAAAAUUAGCUGGGUGUGGUGGCGGGAGCCUGUAAUCCAAGCUACUCAGGAGGCUGAGGCAGGAGAAUCACUGGAACCUGGAAGGUGGAGGCUGCAGUGAGCUGAGAUCGCACCACUGCACUCCAGCCUGGGCAACAGAGUGAGACCCCAUCUCAAAAAAAAAAAAAAAAAAGGUAGUUUGUUACUCACAGUUCCCAAGAGGAGGGGAGCACCACGCCAUGCCGCGCCACGCCAUGCCACGCCAUGCCACGCCAUGCCAUGCCAUGCCACGCCAUGUGGGGGCCACACCCGGAGAGCCCCAGAGGGAGCAAGGGGCAGAACGCAGGCAAGCAGUUCCCAUGGGAAGGAACAGGCGAGGCAGGGUACACAGGUUUAGGACUAGCUAGUUUGAAUAAUUUCAGCAGGCUCUGGGACAUAGGAGCUGUCUGUAGUUGUCUGGUACCUGGCCCUGGGGGAUACAGGCAGGUGGAUAGGGGCCCAGAGUGUGGUUGGGAGGUGUGGGCUCUAGAGUGGGUGAUUUGUAUUUGAAAAGCACACUCCCAGGCCAUUGUCUGCUGUCUCUAGGAACUAUCUAAUCCUGGGAGGGACUCUCUCCAGUGUCAGCAAAGCCCCUGAUGUCAAAGUAUCACAAUACAGAGAAUAAAAGACGCGGCCCGUACGCAGAGCUGAAGUGGCUCUCUGUUAUUUGCAGAUGGAAAUUGGAAUCUCUACAGCAUGACAGACACUUGAGCAGAAAUUCUAAGCUUUUAUGGGUUGCCACAGGUCCCUUUCAGGAGGAUGGCGAAGGCUAUAGUCAUGAGCCGUCUAAGGUGGAGGUCACGAGCGGCAGGUGGCUCUUAAUAAGCACUUGACAUACCACUUCUCCCAACUGAGAUGUGCUGUACGCGUCAAAUCCGAACUGGAUUUUGAGGAUUCAGAAUGAAUAAAAGAUUGAAAAAAUCUCAUUCAUGAUUUGUAUAUUAAUUACAUGUUGAAAUGAUAAUAUGUUGGAUAUAUUGGGCUAAAUAAAAUAUAUUAUCAAAUUUAAGUUUGCUUGUUUCUUUUUAUUGUGUCUGCUAGAAAAAUGUCCUCAGUUAAAAUCACCUCAGUGGCUCACAUUCUCUCUCUAUUGGACAACAGGGCUCUUGACCUCCCUAGGGGAAUGGACCCAGGCACACAUGAUGCAGGUAAAAUAUGGUAUUGAGGGGUGUGAUUCCAGGAUCUGAGGGUACACCGACCCCAAGUUGAUUUCACUCUCUCUUUCCAGAAUUAUAGGGUGAAAAGAACCCUAGAGAAGGAUCCCUGGCCCCAGACACAUAACUAUCAGUGAGAACCCACAGCAUUGAAAAGCAAAUCUUUCCCAAAGCUUCAUGUUUUGAGCCAGCCUGCUGUAAAACUUUGUUAAAAAAAAUCAGUAGACAAUAAAGAAGAAAAUCAAACUUUUUAGCCUUGAUUAAGUGGUU